rnacentral:rRNA from 1 species
CCUACGGGUGGCAGCAGUGGGGAAUAUUGCGCAAUGGGCGAAAGCCUGACGCAGCGACGCCGCGUGAGGGAUGAAGGUCUUCGGAUCGUAAACCUCUGUCAGCAGGGAAGAACGGUCACUGUGCUAAUCAGCAGUGAAUUGACGGUACCUGCAAAGGAAGCACCGGCUAACUCCGUUCCAGCAGCCGCGGUAAUACGGAGGGUGCGAGCGUUAAUCGGAAUUACUGGGCGUAAAGCGCUCGUAGGCGGUAUGUCAAGUCAAGGGUGAAAUCCCCGCGCUCAACGUGGGAACUGCCUUUGAAACUGGCAAACUGGAGUGUGUGAGAGGAUAGUGGAAUUCCAGGUGUAGGAGUGAAAUCCGUAGAUAUCUGGAGGAACAUCAGGGGCGAAGGCAGCCUGCCGGGGUGCGACUGACGCUGAGGCUCGAAGGUGCGGGUAUCAAACAGGAUUAGAUACCCUAGUAGUC